GCCUAUGAUGACAAUACUGAUUUUCACUGAAAGCAAGUCUAUGGAUUUGCCUGACUGUUGAAAUUCAUGAACUAGGACGGUCUGAGGC
rnacentral:snoRNA from 1 species